CAUUACUGACCAUGAAAUGAGAAGAUGCAUAGGGGAAUGCCAAUCCCACUCAAGAAUUGUUUGUGGUCACAGGCCGGUGCCAAAUUCAAGAUCAUAGAACAGAUACAGAUGGACAUCAUAUUAUAUUUUUGUUGUUCUGUCAACAUUAUUGUGCAUCUGCAUUAUACUUGUACCCUAGGCCUAUACUAUAAGUUAUUCUCUGGUUUAUUACAAUAUCAUAUUUAAAAUGUUUUAAUACCUGGAAAAUUUGAAGCCUAAUAAAACUUUAAAUUAUU